UACGUAGGGUGCGAGCGUUGUCCGGAAUCAUUGGGCGUAAAGAGCUCGUAGGCGGCCUGUCGCGUCGGAUGUGAAAACCCGGGGCUCAACCUCGGGCCUGCAUUCGAUACGGGCAGGCUGGAGUUCGGCAGGGGAGACUGGAAUUCCUGGUGUAGCGGUGAAAUGCGCAGAUAUCAGGAGGAACACCGGUGGCGAAGGCGGGUCGCUGGGCCGAUACUGACGCUGAGGAGCGAAAGCGUGGGGAGCGAACAGG
rnacentral:rRNA from 1 species